GAUGAACGCUGGCGGCGUGCUUAACACAUGCAAGUCGAACGGAAAGGCUCCUGCUUGCAGGGGUACUCGAGUGGCGAACGGGUGAGUAACACGUGGGUGAUCUGCCCUGCACUUCGGGAUAAGCCUGGGAAACUGGGUCUAAUACCGGAUAGGACCACAUUUUGGAUGGUGUGGUGGAAAGUUUUUCGGUGUGGGAUGAGCUCGGGGCCUAUCAGCUUGUUGGUGGGGUAAUGGCCUACCAAGGCGUCGACGGGUAGCCGGCCUGAGAGGGUGUACGGCCACAUUGGGACUGAGAUACGGCCCAGACUCCUACGGGAGGCAGCAGUGGGGAAUAUUGCACAAUGGGCGCAAGCCUGAUGCAGCGACGCCGCGUGGGCGAUGACGGCCUUCGGGUUGUAAACUCCUUUCGCUAGGGACGAAGCGUUUUUGUGACGGUACCUGGAGAAGAAGCACCGGCUAACUACGUG
rnacentral:rRNA from 1 species